UUCGUCGAAAAAUCACAAGCGCGCAUGCCGUAGGUGUUUGCCUGGUUGCAAGAUCUUGCCGAUUUCAACGUUUUUCCACCUCUUCGCACUUUCUUCUUUGGCUCCCCACCGCGCGCAGGUUGGCGUACGCUGAACUGGACCCUCGCAGCAAGAAUGGCACGUGGGAGUAAGUUUUAUUUGUGACGCGAUUUGGUUUAUCUUCCGAAGAAACUGUUAAGCUCACAAUGCUGAUAUGUUGUUGUUGUCGGCCACGUGUGUAGAUUGACACCGCGAUCGUGGAACACAUGGCUAUCUGCCUCGAAUAACUGCAAGCCGGCGCGCGCGUAGUGCCGUGGAGAACAAUCAGAAGUCCUGGACGACAAAGAAAAAAAACUUCAAAGGUUUGUUGUACAUGUUUUCCACGGCAGCUGACAUAAACGUAAAAAAAAUUGGAAUGGUCAAAUGCAUGUGUCAAGUUUAACCAUUUGUAGUGGGCUGUGGACGAGAAUUAAGCAUUGCUGCACACAAGACUGGCUUGCCCUCAGUUUAUGCCCAGUACCAAAUUUUUUGCUCUCAUUAUGACACCAUUUGUAAGAAAAGCCAGAACUUAUGUUCAAAACAGCGCAUAUUCUUGCUAUUCUUUUAUUCAGUUGCACGUGUGAGUCCUGCUGCUGGCCAUCAGUUAGCCGGUUAUCAGAAGAAAAGGGCACAGCCCAGUUUGUACUGGUAUAUACCGUAUCGUUUGUGAUUAUGAUCAUGAUUUUUGUCUUACUGAAACAAGAAACUGAAAAAUGUAUGUUGGUGUUUAUGCUACAUCUCUAUGAAGCAGCAGAACCUGUUGCUCAGUCACUUGGUGCAUAUUAGCAACUGGCACCUUGUCUGGCUUCCCGAUACGUCCGCCUUUUUUCAGUGCAUAAGUAGUUUCACACAACCGAAAUGACCAACUAGCCCACUCUGUUUGUCAAGUAGGUUUUACUUCCAAACAAAUGUAGCACAUUUGUGAUAUGCACUGUUGCUCAAUGAUAUUCUUUUUGCAUGUGCUAGCUGUGUACACAUAUUACAUGAUCUUUUUUCUUUUUUUUUUCAGCUGCUUCUAGUAGUGGUGCCCCUGGUGUGCACCUUUACCCCAAAUGUCUGCACCUUUGCCUACCGGUAAUGACAUAGAAUGUGCUCAGCUUCCUGGACAUAGGCAUGCAGGUUACGAGACGGAAAACGUGCAGCUUAGACUUCAUGCUUGUAAAUGCGAAAGUCGUAACCGACACAAUUAGAGUAAGCUAAAAGGAGAAAUUUCUGCUUAUGAGCAAGUAAUUAUGAAGCAGGUUUUACUCCUUUUAAACUAGCAGACAUGCAACAACACAGUUGUGCUAUGUUUGUUUUGUGCGCCACUUUCAUGCAUAUUUGUGCUUGCAGUGGAUAUGCAUAUACAUGAAGGAUUUGUUUUUGUUUUCCUCAGCUGCCUCUGCGAACCCCGCUCCUGGACAACAGCUGGGAGGCUCUGUGUUUAAACGCGUGCACCUUGGACGUCACGCUCGUAAAUACCAAUUCCUUUGUCAUUCCUGGCAUGAAUUUCGUUGGUAAAGCAAUAAGUAAAAUUGUGCAUUGUUGUUUACAAGCACUUCAGUAUGAACCAGGCUUAAAGGAGAAGGGACCGACAACUGGCCAGAACUUGUGAUUAGAUCCUGUCAGAAAUGAAAAGACCGCGCUAUAUACUGACAUAUUCCAGCAUCCUUUUCGCGCUGUGAGUAGGAUUUAUAUCUCUAAAUUGUGUUUAAAAGUAACAAAGAAAAGGCAUGUUGUGCAGCCUAUCGCAAGAGCCUUGAAGCUAGAUUGCGGAGUUGAUCACUUUGCUGUACAAAGUCACGUAGUCUGAUACCGUCAUGUGUGCCAUUAUUGGUCCUAAAAAUAUUAGUAUGUAUAUUACUAUCCAUCCCCGCUCUAUUCUGUGCUGCUUAUGAGGUAAAAGGAGUUGCAUGGUGACAAGUAACGGCGCUGCCUUCGCGGUAGCCAGUGGACCAUGUCGAGCCGCAGCGCAUGCGCGCGAGUACACACACACGCAGUAAACCGCCGCGCUCGAACACGAACCGCUGUCACGCUCACUGUUUGCAACAUGUCUUGUCACGUGUAUAUACGACUUCAUAUCCGUCGCAGAUAGAAAAAUUCGAAUUACAAAUGUUUCACGGCAUUUUCCACAUCACCAUUCCUUGAUUCUACACUCUGACUGGUAAGCUUUCUGUCGCGUUAAAGAAAAUAGGUACCAUAAAAGUUGGUUGUCGGUCCCUUUAACCUCGUAACACACACACAGGACAAAAUAGGCAUGCUAUAUCCCCGUUGUGCACCAUCUUUGUGCGUUUGUGUGUGCAGUAUGGACAUGUACAUUAAGGCUUUGUUUUUGUUCGCAGCUGCCUCUGCGAGCCCUGCUGUUCGACGCCAGCUGGAAUGCUCUGCGUUUGAAAGCGUGCACCCCAGAUGUCAUGCUCAUAAAUACAGAGUUCUCAUGAUUCUAGUGUUGACAAAGCAAUAAGUAAAAGCAGGCACUUGUGUAUCUGGAAUGAGGUUUAACCCUGUCUUAGGAGACAUAAGACAAUAUAGUGAUGCUAUGUUCCUGUUGUUCACCAUUUUCAUGCAUGUUGUGUGCAGUACGUAUACAUACAUGCAGGCUUUGUUUUUGUUGUCCUCAGCUGCCUCUGCAAGCCCUUUUGCUGGACGCCAUGGAAGGCCCUCCACUCGAAAGUGUGCACCUUAGACUACACGCUCAUCAAUACCAAGUUCUCUGUCCUUCUCGGCAUGAUUGUAGUGCCAUAUAAUAGUGAGGCAAUAAAUCAUUUUUGCUGGUCA